rnacentral:tRNA from 1 species
UCUAAUAUGGCAGAUUAGUGCAAUGAACUUAAACUUCAUAUAUAAAGUAAUUUACUUUUUUUAGAA